UGAAGAUUUGAAGAAUUUGGGAGAAGGACGCCGUCAAGGUCGAGGGUUUCGUGACUACAGCUUCUGAAGCACGUCAUCUUCACAUAAAUAAGACGCGUUUCAGAAGUUGUAGUCACGAAACUCUCGACCUAGACCGCAGCCCUUCUCCCAAAUUCUUCAAAUCUUCA
rnacentral:pre_miRNA from 1 species